rnacentral:rRNA from 1 species
UACGAGAGGCCCAAACGUUAAUCGGAAUUACUGGGCGUAAAGCGUGCGCAGGCGGUGAUGUAAGACAGUUGUGAAAUCCCCGGGCUCAACCUGGGAACUGCAUCUGUGACUGCAUCGCUGGAGUGCGGCAGAGGGGGAUGGAAUUCCGCGUGUAGCAGUGAAAUGCGUAGAUAUGCGGAGGAACACCGAUGGCGAAGGCAAUCCCCUGGGCCUGCACUGACGCUCAUGCACGAAAGCGUGGGGAGCAAACAGG